AUGCUCGCUUCGGCAGCACGUAUACUAAAAUUGGAAUGAUACGGAGAAGAUUAGCAUGGCCCCUGCAUAGGGAUGACACGAAGAAAAGAAAAAUAAAAGAAUUUUAA